rnacentral:lncRNA from 1 species
GUUUGUCUACGCCUCAUUGAUGCGUCUCCUGAUUCUUAAGUUUGUUUUGAGCAUGUCUGCCAGUAAGGAUGUUCUUGCCCUUGCUUCACUUGAAGUGGAUCUUUCCAGCAUUGAACCUGGUACAACUGUUACUGUGAAGUGGCGUGGCAAACCUGUUUUCAUCAGGCGCCGAACUGAGGACGACAUCAGUUUGGCAAACAGUGUUGAUCUUGGCUCCCUUCGCGAUCCACAACAAGAUGCA